GACGAACGCUGGCGGCGUGCUUAACACAUGCAAGUCGAACGGGAUUUCGUAAACAGAAGCCUCGGUGGAAGAUUACUAAUGAGAGUGGCGAACGGGUGAGUAACGCGUGAGCAACCUGCCUAUGACAGGGGGAUAGCCUCGGGAAACCGGGAUUAAUACCGCAUAAAAUCGUAGAAACACAUGUUUUAACGGUCAAAGAUUUAUCGGUCAUAGAUGGGCUCGCGUCUGAUUAGCUAGUUGGUGAGAUAACAGCCCACCAAGGCGACGAUCAGUAGCCGGUCUGAGAGGAUGAACGGCCACAGUGGAACUGAGACACGGUCCAAACUCCUACGGGAGGCAGCAGUGGGGAAUAUUGCACAAUGGGGGAAACCCUGAUGCAGCGACGCCGCGUGAACGAAGAAGGUAUUCGUAUCGUAAAGUUCUGUCCUAUGGGAAGAUAAUGACAGUACCAUAGAAGAAAGCUCCGGCUAAAUACGUG
rnacentral:rRNA from 1 species